AAGUCGUAACAAGGUUUCCGUAGGUGAACCUGCGGAAGGAUCAUUAAUGAAUGUUAGGACGCUCUUUUUAGAGGUCCGACCCAUUUAUUUCCUCACACCGUGCACAAACUACUUUUUUACACCAUUUUUAACUCUAUGUAUUGAAUGUACAAAAGUCUCUUGAUUGAGCAUACAAUUUAUAUUAAAA
rnacentral:misc_RNA from 1 species